rnacentral:rRNA from 1 species
GAUGAACGCUGGCGGCGUGCCUAAUACAUGCAAGUCGAGCGAACAGACGAGGAGCUUGCUCCUCUGACGUUAGCGGCGGACGGGUGAGUAACACGUGGAUAACCUACCUAUAAGACUGGGAUAACUUCGGGAAACCGGAGCUAAUACCGGAUAAUAUAUUGAACCGCAUGGUUCAAUAGUGAAAGACGGUUUUGCUGUCUCUUAUAGAUGGAUCCGCGCCGCAUUGGCUAGUUGGUAAGGUAACGGCUUACCAAGGCAACGAUGCGUAGCCGACCUGAGAGGGUGAUCGGCCACACUGGAACUGAGACACGGUCCAGACUCCUACGGGAGGCAGCAGUAGGGAAUCUUCCGCAAUGGGCGAAAGCUUGACGGAGCAACGCCGCGUGAGUGAUGAAGGUCUUCGGAUCGUAAAACUCUGUUAUUAGGGAAGAACAAAUGUGUAAGUAACUAUGCACGUCUUGACGGUACCUAAUCAGAAAGCCACGGCUAACUACGUG